rnacentral:rRNA from 1 species
UACGUAGGGUGCGAGCGUUGUCCGGAAUUAUUGGGCGUAAAGAGCUCGUAGGCGGUCUGUCGCGUCGGAUGUGAAAGCACGGGGCUCAACCCCGUGCCUGCAUUCGAUACGGGCAGACUAGAGUUCGGUAGGGGAGACUGGAAUUCCUGGUGUAGCGGUGAAAUGCGCAGAUAUCAGGAGGAACACCAAUAGCGAAGGCAGCUCGCUGGGACGUUACUGACACUGAGGCGCGAAAGCGUGGGGAGCGAACAGG